rnacentral:rRNA from 1 species
AUUGAACGCUGGCGGCAGGCCUAACACAUGCAAGUCGAGCGGAUGAAGGGAGCUUGCUCCUGGAUUCAGCGGCGGACGGGUGAGUAAUGCCUAGGAAUCUGCCUGGUAGUGGGGGAUAACGUCCGGACACGGGCGCUAAUACCGCAUACGUCCUGAUGGUGAACGUGGGGGAUCUUCGGACCUCGCGCUAUCAGAUGAGCCUAGGUCGGAUUAGCUAGUUGGUAGGGUAAGGGCCUACCAAGGCGACGAUCCGUAACUGGUCUGAGAGGAUGAUCGGUCACACUGGAACUGAGACACGGUCCAGACUCCUACGGGAGGCAGCAGUGGGGAAUAUUGCACAAUGGGCGAAAGCCUGACCCAGCCAUGCCGCGUGUGUGAAGAAGGUCUUCGGAUUGUAAAGCACUUUAAGUUGGGAGGAAGGGCAGUAAGUUAAUACCUGGCUGUUUUGACGUUACCAACAGAAUAAGCACCGGCUAACUACGUG